rnacentral:lncRNA from 1 species
ACCGACUGUCCUCCCGUCAGCCGGGAUUUCUGCUUCUCCUCCGGUUUACGCAUCACAGCCUCCUCUGAUGCGCAGUAGGAACAUUGACUUCACGGCUGCGGUGUGUUGAUGACUUGGAGUGUCAGGCUGAGAUGUUCCUUCCUGUCGACCGUCUUUACAUCCACAGCUGACGAGUCGCUGCAGACGUCGCGCAGGGACACGACGAAGGAGCUAAUUCCUCCUUUCACUGGGUGGAAUCAUUAGGCCCCAAAUCUUCCCCCCAGACUGACUGCCAACGAGGUCAGCAGCGAGAGAAGCUUCACGUCCUGUGCCCAGAAAGCUUCUUAGAAAAUAUCUUACUUUAGUGAUUCUCUUGUGGAAAUGAAAGAUUUAAUUUGAAUCCUUAGGAGACGAAACAUAAGUGAUUUAUCUUUUAAAAAGUCAAAGAAUGAGGUUAAAUGACCUCAUUUUGUCCUUCAUCCUCCUCCUCUCCAUCACACACCUUUCACACAUGUAUAUUAAUAUGAUUUUAUAUUAAUCGUGCAGCUGAAAGUCCUUGACUGAAAGAAAACAAAGACCUUGCAAAAUCUUCAACCUUUAAUUCAACUUUAAAUGCUUUGUAAAGUUAUGAAUUUGUAACGUUAUGAAUUUGUAAAGUUUUGUAUUUGGUGAAAGCUUCUGAAAUGUGAGAAGCUGCUUUCAGUGUUUUAUGUUCGGAUGCCAGAAAUGUUGGUAGUCGAUACUACGAUUAAAAACAAACAGUGACUCCAUGUUCUUCAACAUGCAGGUCAUAAUUCAUCGAGGAUUUAUUCAAGUUUACCUUUUGACUACUAUUUACUUUGAAUGAAUAAUGUGUGAAUGCA